AUCUCCCUUGUGUAAAAUUAAAUUUCAUUUUGUUCGUGAAUGCGUGGACAUGUUUGUUUACAUUCUAAAUGUAAAUGUGCGUCUUCGUAACAUCGUAGUACCAUAAUAGUCUUCAAAGUCCAUGAUGUCAAUCAUCUCAUUGUAAACGGAUGAACGUGCCGAGACAGGGAAUCAACGCGUCAACUGUUUAGACCACCGACCCAGCACGACAUCAGCGAGUCGUACUCGUCGAACGCGGAGAAGUUCGCCGACGCCGACGUAGGUGGCGUCGCGAUCACGCUCUGCCACGGCACCGUGCUCUUCAAGUGCGCGAAGCGGGAGCUGCACGCGAUGACGGCGAUACGUGACCCGAACCGCCUCGCGCCGACGCGCGUCUCCCUCGUCUUCUACCAGCACAAGCACCUCAACUACCGGCACCACGGCCUCGCGGAGUACGAGCGCGCGGCGGAGAGGAGGCGCACGGAGAAGGCGGCGCGAGGGGAGGAGCCAGUGCGACCGGGGAGGAAGCGGCGCACGGUG